rnacentral:rRNA from 1 species
UAACUUUCAACAACGGAUCUCUUGGCUCUCGCAUCGAUGAAGAACGCAGCGAAUUGCGAUAAGUAAUGUGAAUUGCAGAAUUCAGUGAAUCAUCGAAUCUUUGAACGCACCUUGCGCUCUCUGGUAUUCCGGAGAGCAUGCCUGUUUGAGUAUCAU